rnacentral:rRNA from 1 species
AAGGGUGCGUAACACGUGGGGAAUCUGCCGAGAAGUGGGGGAUAGCUCGUCGAAAGGCGAAUUAAUACCGCAUGUGGUUAGGGAAGACAUCUUUCCGAUACCAAAGCCGGGGCAACCUGGCGCUUCUUGAUGACCCCGCGGCCUAUCAGCUAGUUGGUGAGGUAACGGCUCACCAAGGCUAUGACGGGUAGCUGGUCUGAGAGGACGACCAGCCACACUGGAACUGAGACACGGUCCAGACACCUACGGGUGGCAGCAGUCGAGAAUUUUUCUCAAUGGGGGAAACCCUGAAGGAGCGACGCCGCGUGGAGGAUGAAGGUCUUCGGAUUGUAAACUCCUGUCAUUUGGGAACAAUGUGCAGUCGUUAACUGCGAUUGCAUUGAUAGUACCAGAAGAGGAAGAGACGGCUAACUCUGUGCCAGCAGCCGCGGUAAUACAGAGGUCUCAAGCGUUGUUCGGAUUCAUUGGGCGUAAAGGGUGCGUAGGUGGCGCCAUAAGUCAGGUGUGAAAUCUCGGGGCUCAACCCCGAAACUGCACUUGAUACUGUGGUGCUCGAGUACUGGAGAGGAGAUUGGAAUU